rnacentral:tRNA from 1 species
GGUUGUAGCUCAGUGGUAGAGUGCUUGCUUAACACUUGUAAGGCACUGGGUUGGAUCCUCAGAACCA